rnacentral:rRNA from 1 species
CUCUUUCCGUUGUAUUUGGAAAGUAUAACCUGCCCACUGACUUAAGUUGAAGGGCCGCGGUAAUUUGACCGUGCAAAGGUAGCAUAAUCAUUAGUCUUUUAAUUGGAGGCUGGAAUGAAUGGUUGGACGAGACAUAUACUGUCUUAUUAUUUAUAUUAGAAUUUAAUUAUUAAGUAAGAAAGCUUAAAUUUAUUUAUGGGACGAGAAGACCCUAUAGAGUUUAAUAAUUUAUUUUAUUUGUGGUAUGUUAUUAUUUUUUAAGUUAAAUUAUUUUAUUGGGGUGAUGGGAAGAUAAGAUAAACUCUUUUUGUUUUUGAAUAUUUAUUUAUAUAUAUUUGAUCCAGAAUUUUUGAUUAAAAGGCUAAAUUACCUUAGGGAUAACAGCGUAAUCUUCUUUGAGAGUUCUAAUCGACAAGGGGGAUUGCGA